UCUCUCUAAGGACACACCCUUUAUUCAAACAAUUAUAGGAGGUUCACUGACAUUUCAAAUGAACUAAAAGAUACAACUACUUCAUAGUUUGUGGUUUACAAUUCAUCAAACGAUAAGCUCUUUGUUUAAAAGGGAUACCAAUUCAACUUAACCUACAGAUCAGUAAUAGAACAGUGAAUUAGGCAUGUGUUCUUUACCGUGAUGGCAAUCACAAAAUGUAGCAAAGUUGAAGAAGACAAUGAAAUAUAAUAAUUACAAAUAUGAACUCAAUUUAUUGAUGUAUGAUUUGUUUAUGAUGGUUAUGAUUGUUUGAUAGAUAGUUAUCGAUCAUCACAUUUUGACACUGAUCUAAUCGCGAUGGGUCAAUUGUGUCGUGUAACAUUUUAACACUGAUUAAAAACAUCGACUUUCUAAAGUCUGUAUCUCGAAAAAGGCUAUCAUUGUCGCCUAUGGGGAAAUUAAUUGUUUAUUACAAUCUACAUAGAUGACUACCUUAAUAUCUGUUUCGUAGAAAAUAUGAAAAGAUAUCAUAAAAAUAAAACUAACCAAAGUAAUCACAUACAACAGAAGUAUGUCCUAAUAUAUAUAUAUAUUACUAAUAAGUCUAAAUUGAAAACAACGUUCAAACCUAUGAUUGCGUUGGAUAAAAACUGCAAUUUUUAUACGCGUGCAUGUAAAAAAAAUCUUGGUAGAGGGGUCUAAAUACAGCACAAACAACAUUUUCCAAAAGACCAAAAAAGUGAAAAAGUAUGUUUAAACAAAACGCAUUUGACUAAGAGGUCGAACGACGGAUGUUCUAAAUUCCUGCCGACUGCUAUAUUACAAAUAUAUAUACAAGUCUAAAUUGAAAACAACGUUUAAACCUAUUCAUAUAUAUAUAAUAUAUAUAUAUAUUUUCCGCUGUGUUGUAUUCAGGUUGAAAUUUAUUGCAUUCUAUACUUUACAAUGGUCAGUAAUCAUAUAUCGAUCGAAUUAUUGUAUGAAAAUGCAGUGUGCAAAUAUUUUAAACGGGUUGAUAUAUAUAAUACUUAUUCCAGGAAAAGAGAAACAAAAAUAGAAUAAUAGAAAAAUCUUUGUUGCUAUCUAAUAUACUUUAAAGGUAAGAAGUUUCCUUGAAACUUUAUUUCUUUUCUAGCCAUCGAAUAAAGAGACAUAGCAGAAUUGAAAAUGGGACAAUAUUUUAUUCAUUUUACCUUAAUUGUGAUCUUUAUUUUGUUCCUUGGCCUUCUAGCUUUGUUUGGACAUUUUAUACUCGGUAAUCAUACAAAAACAAGACAAGAACGAAAGGUAAAGAAAGGACAAUCACUUCAUUUUGAACCAAUCAUUGGGGCUCCGCCAACAUUUCUUAUCCACUGGAAGUUAAAACAUACAAAUUCUUCAUCGUUUGUGGUAUACAAUUCAUCAAACGACAAAUUCAUCGUUAAACAGCAAAAUAUAUUAUCAAUUCGACUUAACCUACACAUCAGUAAAAGUAGAAAUACUGUAAAUGAGGCAUGUCUUCAUUACAGUGAUGGAUGGGGAAAAUGUAAAACGACUUUAUUGAAGAAAAAUACAUACGAAACUUUUCACAUAAAGGAUAAGACCUUUUUAAUGCCAGGAUCGUAUAUCAGUGUGGACAUUUCACAUCCACGUUAUAUAUCACGGGGACAUAACCUCAAUAGUCUCGUCAUUUUGCAGUCGUUUUAUAGUGGUGUAGAAGAAGAAGAAUGAAAUAUAAUUAUUAAAAAUGUGAACCUAAUUUGUUAAUGCAUUAUGAGUAAGAAUAUGAUUAUGAUACGGUUUACUAUAUAGUCUAUUCAUGUUAUGUUUUUUGUUCUGAUUGCACAUUAGCUCCUUUUUGUAAACAAAUGAUUAUUGAAUAUUUCCAUUCUUAUAUUGUUAGGUAAAAAUUAUUGACGUGAUGUAUAAAGAAGACAUAUUCUUACCAACACAAGGCUGGAAUAUUUAAAUCUUCUCUAUUGAUUUCUCAGAUUUCAAUUACGAAAGGGUAUCAGAUAUCUUUACCCUCUAUAAAUAAGAAGAUGUGGUAUGAGUGCCAAUGAGACAACUCUCCAUUCAAGUCACACUGUAUAAAUAGUCAAUAAUUAAAGCAUGUUGUCACCUUCCCAAUCCAAAUAUAGUCUUGAUUGUCAUGUUGUAACAGAAAUACCAAAAUUAUUGACGUGAUUUAAAUAAAAGACAAUUUCUCUAUUGGUUUCUCAGAUUUAAAUUACGAAGAGGUACUAUAUAUCGUAAUUAAUCCUCUAUGAUGUUGUCACCUUCCCAAUUCAAAUAUACUCUUUCUUGGCAUGUGGUAAACAAGUUUAACAAAAAUACCGAACUUCAAGGCAAUAAUAAAAUGAGAAGACGUAGUGUAAUCAACUGAAAAAGAAAUUGGGAUGACUGGUUGAUGCACUUGUUAAUUAUGCCACAUAAUGUAGAAAGCCCGAGCUAGAAGUUUUUUUUUAAAUCCUUUUAAAGAACGAUAUAUAGCCUGUUCAUCUAUUCUCCCGAUCAUUCGUAUUACAGUUAAAGCUCUUCGUUAAAACUGUUUUAAUGAGGUAUUUUCAACAAGUGAUGACAAUUGAAUGAUAAUGUUAAAAAAGUAAACACUCUUGAUUUUUCUAAAUUAGUUUUUCUAAUAUUCGGCUUUUAGCUUCCUGAUGAAGGUAAAUCCACAAAAGCGCUUCGGACGCAUGAAAUUUAUAACGUGUUGUUUUUCAUUUUUUACAGCACUGGGUGGAUACGUAUCACCAGCUCAGUAGUCGGUACUUAGGUACUGACAAAAUUUAUAACAAACCUUUCUAAAAUUGUCCGUUUAUGAAUUUUGAAAUUAAAAGAAAUUAAGGUUUCAAUUCCCUCAGGCAAAGUUGAACUUAGAUGGAUUUGAUUAUUUUUAGGCUUUUUUAUUCAUAUAUCUCUUCAACUGUUUCGGUUCUUAUGCAUCCUUGGUUUUCAAAUAUUUAGCUUUGAGCGUUCCCGAUGACGGCAAAUCCAGAAAAUCGCUUUAGGCAAAUGAAAUUUGUAAAGUGUUGUUUUCAUUUUUAUAACAUUACUUCCCUUUAUCUUUAAUUGUACGAUCUUUUACAUCACCUCAGAACAGACUGCCCUUUUACAAAAAAAAAUCAACAUAUGUCAUGUUUACAGCCAUGUAAAAUAAUAACUUUGUAAAAAUUCUCAUUGAUUCCAACAACACAUUCACUGAAGGUUAUAGCAUGAAAAUAUUGAAAUAUUUGAUCGACAACCUAUCUCUCGAGUUUAUUGGAUUGACAUUUCGACAAACAGGUGUAUUCAUUUUGUAUCAAAUAAAGAAGAAAUUCAUGCAAAACGUUCUUGAUGACAAAAAAAAAGAAUUCACUAAGUUUUUCGUUCAGAUCUACUAUUGAUGUUAUGUUAUUCAAAAUCCUAAAUGUAAACGAAUGCUUGAUUCUCAUAUAAACCAUUGUAUUUGACAAUAAAGAUACUACCGAAACAAGCAGCUCUGUAGAUAUAUAGGUCUUUUUCCUUUUUUCAUAAAUUUUACACAGGUGGACAUACCUUCUGCUACCCCUCUUUGACGUUUAUAUAAAUUCAUAAAGAGAUGACCCGCAUGCAUGCUCACAUUAAACGAGCUUCAUUACCAAGUCGUAAAUUACGCCCUCCUUCUCUUCCCAGCAGGGUUUUGAGGAAGAACUACUAAAAUCGUCAUUUCACAAGUUUGUCCUAAUGGUAAAGAUGAAAUUAUUCCUUCGAAUCUUUUACGGACCAAUGACGACAGAUAUAUUCAAAAUAUUCGUCGCUACAAUUCAUUCUCUUUUCCACGACUGUGAUGUCACUGAAUGACACUAAUCACGUAGCAACACGACGAAUACCGCAUGCGGAGAAGGAUCUGCUCACCCUUCCGGCGAAUUUGAGAUUACCUUCGCUUUUUGUUUAUUUUUUGUUUUUUUUUGUGGGGGUCGUAUUACUGAGCCUUAAGUUUUCUGUGUAGUGUUAUGGACUGUUGUUUUUUUUUCUUUUCGUUGUUUUUUUGUGUUUUCUUUUGCCAUUUUGUUGUCAGUUUUUCGUUGAUUAUGAUUACGUACUUUCCCAUUAUAUCUUCCACCUCCUUAACGGUCACCGAAAUGGUUGAUUGUUCCUCAUGAAAAUGCCAAUUUUGAAUAUCGGCUAACUACUGUUUCCUCCUAUUUUCCUAGUAUUUCUAAAUUGAAUGGAAUACCAUGAAUUGAAUCAAGAUAGAUUCGCUUUGGGAAUAUUUUGAUGAUUUUUAAGUUAAGGUACAUUAGCUGGGGUGUCUUCCUCCAUCUUGGAUUUUGAAAUAGCAGAUAACAAUCGAUCUAUAUCUUUAUUGAAAUGUACACAUUUCGAGAGUAGUAUGUAAUUCCUGUGUAAGACUUUUCAUGUAACUAUAGAAAUUAUGUGUUUUAUCAUAUUUACGGCUGUCUUUUACAAAAAAACAAAAUAUUUUUGUUUGAUUCAUUUUUUUUUUUUUUUCAACUUUGCCACAAAAGGGGAGAUAACUCAGAUAAAGUAACUUUUAUAAUAGAAUGUGUUGUGAAUUUACCUUUUGUAUUAUGUAGCAAGAAAACGAGUCCGGUGACCCCAUUUUUUCUUUUUUUUAUCUGAAAGUAUAUUAUUAAUGCUAUCUUUUCAUAUUUUAUCUUACAAUUCUAUGGUGUAAUAUUCUUUUUAUCACACAAAAUUGUGUUUUCCAUGGAUAAUCUGACAAUUUUGCACAACCUGUGGCGUGAAAAAAAGCCCGGUGACCCAUACUUUUUAUUAUAAUUUUGAAAAAAGCAUGAUAUAAACUACAUUUGUACAAAUUAUUAAAAACUAUGCAUAUUAAUUAAGACCCCCUAUCUACCUUAAGUUGAAAGUAAAUUAUUAUAUUGGUAUAGUGGAUUUAUAGUUAGAAAAAUUGGUUAUUAAAACAAAAUAACACUAGGAAUACCAACAUUGAUGAUCAACAUAAGAACUGAAGGUAGAUAGAGAGUUGAAAGAUACCAAGGGAAUAAUCAAUUAUUGGAAGGGGGUCUCAACAUACAAACUUGGGUAUAGACGUACGCGUCCGGCUGGAGUUUGAAGAUAAUCCCAUUCAUAUAUAGUGAUUUACGCGGAAAUCUCUACUCAUUCACAUAAUUCAUUGAAUAAUCAACACCUAAGUAUAUAUAUAUUUCCCAGCUAUCAUGACAUCUUAUAUAGACGUUAACCGCGAGAGAUGAUUCAUAGUAUUAGACAAAUAGAUUAGAACACAGUUUUGACAGACAUCUUAGCAGAAGAUGAACAUUUUUUACCCUUUGACAUAUAAAUGUCUAAAUAUGAUAACGCCAUGGCAAAGAACAAAACAAGCCCAAUACAACAGUAUCCUGAGAUAUAUAUAUAUAUAUAUAAAAUCUAAGUAUUUGGCAUAUAUCUAAAAAAACAAACAUUCUUUAGACGUGCAGUAAUAUAUUAUAUUGAUCUUGUAACAAAAACAGAUUACAUACGGAUUUCAAUUUACAAAAUCGUUCAAAAGCCUCGAUUUAUUGCGAAAUUUGAUACCCAACAUAUUAUAUAAUUAUAUAAUUCAUUUAAAUAUUUUCUCAAUACAAUAACCUAUAUAUAAAACGGCUAGUUUAUUAUGUCAUAUAACUGAAUACUGAUAUUGUAAAACUGAUAACCCUAGAUGAAUGAUUACUCUGUAGAUUUAAAUAAACAUAAUCAAAUAAGCACUUGAAACGUUUCAAAAAGAUAUAUAUACCUAUAAUUUCUACCUAAAACUACAUUUCAGAAAUUGACGAAUGUUUUGAACAUAUAUUUUCCAGGAACGUUUUCUUUUGAUGUAUUUUCUUUUGGUACUUUUAUGAUAGUAUAUGAUAUGUAUGUUUUUACGUUUUUGUAAUAUAAUUCCCCGCAAAUCAUUUUACUCAUUAGUUUCUAGAUAAUUCACCAGAAUAAAAUCAAGAAGAUGGAAAAUAUUGAUGUAAGACAAACAAUCUCGUGAAUUUUGUUAAAUGAACCGUAUGAGUUCACUGCGUCUUGUUUGUUUUGUCAAAAGUAAAGUAACAAAAAUACCGAACUCCAAGAAAAAUUCAAAACGGAAAGUCCCUUAUCAAAUUGCAAAAUUAAAAGAUCAAACGAAUGAAAAACAACUGUCAUAUUCCUGACUUGGUACAGGCAUUUCCUUUUUAAGAAAAUUGGUGUUGAAUAGAACGAUACGAAUUUGUUAAAAUAUUUUUGUUGUUGGAUGGAGUGAAGUCAAACAUUGCAAAGAUGUCAAAUCCUUUCAAUGGAAAGUAAUAUUUUAUUAUAUCAUAAAGUAUAUGUUAUGUGUAUUAACGGUUUUUAAAUAAAUUAUUUGUUGGAG